rnacentral:rRNA from 1 species
GAGGGGAACUCAGGGAACUGAAACAUCUAAGUACCUGAAGGAAGAGAAAGAAAUUCGAUUCCGUAAGUAGCGGCGAGCGAACGCGGAUUAGCCCAAACCAAUAAAGUUUUCUUUAUUGGGGUUGCGGACAUAUCAUAACGGAGAGGUAUCGUAAUUGAAGAGGUUUGGAAAGACCCACCACAGAAGGUAAUAGUCCUGUAUGUUAAACGAGAAGACUU